CUAAAUACUCCUGACUGACCGAUAGUGAACCAGUACCGUGAGGGAAAGGCGAAAAGAACCCCGGCGAGGGGAGUGAAAAAGAACCUGAAACCGUGUACGUACAAGCAGUGGGAGCACGCUUAGGCGUGUGACUGCGUACCUUUUGUAUAAUGGGUCAGCGACUUAUAUUCUGUAGCAAGGUUAACCGAAUAGGGGAGCCGAAGGGAAACCGAGUCUUAACUGGGCGUUAAGUUGCAGGGUAUAGACCCGAAACCCGGUGAUCUAGCCAUGGGCAGGUUGAAGGUUGGGUAACACUAACUGGAGGACCGAACCGACUAAUGUUGAAAAAUUAGCGGAUGACUUGUGGCUGGGGGUGAAAGGCCAAUCAAACCGGGAGAUAGCUGGUUCUCCCCGAAAGCUAUUUAGGUAGCGCCUCGUGAAUUCAUCUCCGGGGGUAGAGCACUGUUUCGGCAAGGGGGUCAUCCCGACUUACCAACCCGAUGCAAACUGCGAAUACCGGAGAAUGUUAUCACGGGAGACACACGGCGGGUGCUAACGUCCGUCGUG
rnacentral:rRNA from 1 species